rnacentral:rRNA from 1 species
UACGUAGGGUGCGAGCGUUAAUCGGAAUUACUGGGCGUAAAGCGUGCGCAGGCGGUUUUGUAAGCCAGAUGUGAAAUCCCCGGGCUCAACCUGGGAAUGGCAUUUGGGACUGCAAGGCUGGAGUUUGGCAGAGGAGACUGGAAUUCCCGGUGUAGCAGUGAAAUGCGUAGAUAUCGGGAGGAAUACCGAUGGCGAAGGCAGGUCUCUGGGCCGAUACUGACGCUGAGGAGCGAAAGCGUGGGGAGCGAACAGG